AAAUAAGGUCACAUUCUGAGGUACAAAGGGGUAAGAAUUCAACAGAUGAACGGGGGACAGGCGACAAUCCAACCGCCAACAGCACGAUACACAUCCCAUGAUGGAAUCACUUACAGCAUCCCAGUGAGGCUUCACCCUGAAAACCCUGCCUACUUUGUUCAGAUGAGAACAGUCCCCCAGGGGAGAUGUCGUGGCUGGGAAUGAAGACAACAGAGCUCAGUGUGGACUCACAGCUUCUCAGACCUCUGCAGGUGCACAAGUCCCCUCUCCAACAGAAUGUCACUUGUCCCAGCUGGAACAUUUCUCCCUGGGGGCCGCUCUAUCAAGAGUGCUCAUUGCCCAUCAGCACACUGGGAAGAAUGAUGAUGGAGGGGUGUUAAGGGGGGGAAAGGAGAUCCUGUUGUUCGGGGCAGGAGAGAACACAGGCUUUCAUGCUGUUGAGCAUUGGGAGAAGUGAGCUAAUACAUUUUCAGAUCAUCAGAAAGGAUUACUAAUCAUAAAGAAACCCUAGAGUUUGCCAAGGGUCCUUAACAUUUUCAUGUUGCCCAUCAUCAGAAUGGAGGGUCUGAGAGGGCAGCCACGGCUGGGAUGUGGAGAGAAGGGGACACCGGUCUCCAGCAGUCAGGAGGGCAGAGGCCUUCACACCAGAGGAUGACGUCUAGAGGACUAGGGACUUGGAGCCAAUUUCUAUGGUGUCUUCAUGUUUUUCCAUCCAUUCUCCAAG
rnacentral:lncRNA from 1 species